rnacentral:rRNA from 1 species
CCUACGGGUGGCUGCAGUGGGGAAUAUUGGACAAUGGGGGCAACCCUGAUCCAGCCAUGCCGCGUGUGUGAAGAAGGCCCUCGGGUUGUAAAGCACUUUCAGUGAGGAAGAACGCCUGGUGGUUAAUACCCAUCAGGAAAGACAUCACUCACAGAAGAAGCACCGGCUAACUCCGUGCCAGCAGCCGCAGGUAAUACGGAGGGUGCGAGCGUUAAUCGGAAUUACUGGGCGUAAAGCGCGCGUAGGUGGCUUGAUAAGCCGGUUGUGAAAGCCCCGGGCUCAACCUGGGAACGGCAUCCGGAACUGUCAAGCUAGAGUGCAGGAGAGGAAGGUAGAAUUCCCGGUGUAGCGGUGAAAUGCGUAGAGAUCGGGAGGAAUACCAGUGGCGAAGGCGGCCUUCUGGACUGACACUGACACUGAGGUGCGAAAGCGUGGGUAGCAAACAGGAUUAGAUACCCUAGUAGUC